GCGGACGUGGCGGAACUGGCUAUACGCGCAGCCUUGAGGUGGCUGUGGUCGCAAGACCGUGGAGGUUCGACUCCUCUCGUCCGCA
rnacentral:tRNA from 1 species